UGUUCUUCCGAUCUAUAAUACUUUUGUUUCUCGCAGCACAUGAGCCAUAUCACUCUGUUUAGAGAUGUUACAAAGUGGAGACUCAGAAUAACCUAAAUUGAGAGGUAAUUUAAAGGCAGAGUGAGCUGUUUUAUCUCCGUCUAUCAAAGUCGCAG